UCGACGGGAGCUUGCUCCCUGAGAUUAGCGGCGGACGGGUGAGUAACACGUGGGCAACCUGCCUAUAAGACUGGGAUAACUUCGGGAAACCGGAGCUAAUACCGGAUACGUUCUUUUCUCGCAUGAGAGAAGAUGGAAAGACGGUUUACGCUGUCACUUAUAGAUGGGCCCGCGGCGCAUUAGCUAGUUGGUGAGGUAAUGGCUCACCAAGGCGACGAUGCGUAGCCGACCUGAGAGGGUGAUCGGCCACACUGGGACUGAGACACGGCCCAGACUCCUACGGGAGGCAGCAGUAGGGAAUCUUCCGCAAUGGACGAAAGUCUGACGGAGCAACGCCGCGUGAACGAAGAAGGCCUUCGGGUCGUAAAGUUCUGUUGUUAGGGAAGAACAAGUACCAGAGUAACUGCUGGUACCUUGACGGUACCUAACCAGAAAGCCACGGCUAACUACGUGCCAGCAGCCGCGGUAAUACGUAGGUGGCAAGCGUUGUCCGGAAUUAUUGGGCGUAAAGCGCGCGCAGGUGGUUCCUUAAGUCUGAUGUGAAAGCCCACGGCUCAACCGUGGAGGGUCAUUGGAAACUGGGGAACUUGAGUGCAGAAGAGGAAAGUGGAAUUCCAAGUGUAGCGGUGAAAUGCGUAGAGAUUUGGAGGAACACCAGUGGCGAAGGCGACUUUCUGGUCUGUAACUGACACUGAGGCGCGAAAGCGUGGGGAGCAAACAGGAUUAGAUACCCUG
rnacentral:rRNA from 2 species